rnacentral:rRNA from 1 species
UACGUAGGUGGCAAGCGUUAUCCGGAAUUAUUGGGCGUAAAGAGCGCGCAGGUGGUUGAUUAAGUCUGAUGUGAAAGCCCACGGCUUAACCGUGGAGGGUCAUUGGAAACUGGUCGACUUGAGUGCAGAAGAGGGAAGUGGAAUUCCAUGUGUAGCGGUGAAAUGCGUAGAGAUAUGGAGGAACACCAGUGGCGAAGGCGACUCUCUGGUCUGUAACUGACGCUGAGGUGCGAAAGCGUGGGUAGCAAACAGGAUUAGA